CCUACGGGUGGCAGCAGUGAGGAAUAUUGGUCAAUGGGCGGAAGCCUGAACCAGACAAGUAGCGUGCAGGAUGACGGCCCUACGGGUUGUAAACUGCUUUUAUACGGGAAUAACGCGCCGUACGUGUAGGGCUUUGCAUGUACCGUAUGAAUAAGGACAGGCUAAUUCCGUGCCAGCAGCCGCGGUAAUACGGAAGGUCCGGGCGUUAUACGGAUUUAUGGGGUUUAAAGGGCGCGUAGGCCGCAUGUCCAGCGUGCUGUGAAAUGUCCGGGCUCAACCCGGGCCUUGCAGCGCGGACGGGCGUGCUUGACUCCGCGGCACGCAGGCGGAAUUCGUCGUGUAGCGGU
rnacentral:rRNA from 1 species